AACGAACGCUGGCGGCAUGCCUAACACAUGCAAGUCGAACGGUGGCUUCGGCCACAGUGGCGCACGGGUGAGUAACACGUGGGAACCUGCCUUUCGGUUCGGAAUAACGUCUGGAAACGGACGCUAACACCGGAUACGUCCCCCAAAGAGAUUUGGCGGGAGAAAGUUUACGCCGAGAGAGGGGCCCGCGUCGGAUUAGGUAGUUGGUGAGGUAACGGCUCACCAAGCCGACGAUCCGUAGCUGGUCUGAGAGGAUGAUCAGCCACACUGGGACUGAGACACGGCCCAGACUCCUACGGGAGGCAGCAGUGGGGAAUAUUGGACAAUGGGCGGAAGCCUGAUCCAGCAAUGCCGCGUGAGUGAUGAAGGCCUUAGGGUUGUAAAGCUCUUUCGCACGCGACGAUGAUGACGGUAGCGUGAGAAGAAGCCCCGGCUAACUUCGUGCCAGCAGCCGCCGUAA
rnacentral:rRNA from 1 species